rnacentral:tRNA from 1 species
GCCGGCUUAGCUCAGGGGUAGAGCAACCGCUUCGUAAGCGGUAGGUCGUCAGUUCAAAUCUGACAGCCGGCUCCA